rnacentral:rRNA from 1 species
CCUACGGGAGGCAGCAGUGAGGAAUAUUGGUCAAUGGGCGAGAGCCUGAACCAGCCAAGUCGCGUGAGGGAGUACUGCCCUAUGGGUUGUAAACCUCUUUUGUCGGGGAGCAAAAGCCGGACGUGUCCGGCUGUGAGAGUACCCGAAGAAAAAGCAUCGGCUAACUCCGUGCCAGCAGCCGCGGUAAUACGGAGGAUGCGAGCGUUAUCCGGAUUUAUUGGGUUUAAAGGGGGCGCAGGCGGAUUUUUAAGUCAGCGGUAAAAUCGUGGGGUUCAACCCCAUCCAGCCGUUGAAACUGGGGAUCUAGAGUGUGCGAGAGGUAUGCGGAAUGCGUGGUGUAGCGGUGAAAUGCAUAGAUAUCACGCAGAACCCCGAUUGCGAAGGCAGCAUACCGGUGCACAACUGACGCUCAGGCACGAAAGCGUGGGUAUCGAACAGGAUUAGAUACCCGUGUAGUC